AGAGUUUGAUCAUGGCUCAGGACGAACGCUGGCGGCACGCUUAACACAUGCAAGUCGAACGAGAGAAGAGGAGCUUGCUUUUCUGAUCUAGUGGCGGACGGGUGAGUAACACGUGAGCAAUCUGCCUUUCAGAGGGGGAUACCGAUUGGAAACGAUCGUUAAUACCGCAUAACAUAAUUGAACCGCAUGAUUUGAUUAUCAAAGAUUUAUCGCUGAAAGAUGAGCUCGCGUCUGAUUAGCUAGUUGGUAAGGUAACGGCUUACCAAGGCGACGAUCAGUAGCCGGACUGAGAGGUUGAUCGGCCACAUUGGGACUGAGACACGGCCCAGACUCCUACGGGAGGCAGCAGUGGGGAAUAUUGCACAAUGGAGGAAACUCUGAUGCAGCGAUGCCGCGUGAGGGAAGAAGGUUUUAGGAUUGUAAACCUCUGUCUUCAGGGACGAAAAAAGACGGUACCUGAGGAGGAAGCUCCGGCUAACUACGUGCCAGCAGCCGCGGUAAUACGUAGGGAGCGAGCGUUGUCCGGAAUUACUGGGUGUAAAGGGAGCGUAGGCGGGAUCGCAAGUCAGAUGUGAAAACUAUGGGCUUAACCCAUAAACUGCAUUUGAAACUGUGGUUCUUGAGUGAAAUAGAGGUAAGCGGAAUUCCUAGUGUAGCGGUGAAAUGCGUAGAUAUUAGGAGGAACAUCAGUGGCGAAGGCGGCUUACUGGGCUUUAACUGACGCUGAGGCUCGAAAGCGUGGGGAGCAAACAGGAUUAGAUACCCUGGUAGUCCACGCCGUAAACGAUGAUUACUAGGUGUGGGGGGACUGACCCCUUCCGUGCCGCAGCAAACGCAAUAAGUAAUCCACCUGGGGAGUACGACCGCAAGGUUGAAACUCAAAGGAAUUGACGGGGGCCCGCACAAGCAGUGGAGUAUGUGGAUUAAUUCGAAGCAACGCGAAGAACCUUACCAGGUCUUGACAUCGUAUGCAUAGCUCAGAGAUGAGUGAAAUCUCUUCGGAGACAUAUAGACAGGUGGUGCAUGGUUGUCGUCAGCUCGUGUCGUGAGAUGUUGGGUUAAGUCCCGCAACGAGCGCAACCCUUACUGUUAGUUGCUACGCAAGAGCACUCUAGCAGGACUGCCGUUGACAAAACGGAGGAAGGUGGGGAUGACGUCAAAUCAUCAUGCCCCUUAUGACCUGGGCCUCACACGUACUACAAUGGCUGUCAACAGAGGGAAGCAAAGCCGCGAGGUGGAGCGAACCCCUAAAAGCAGUCUUAGUUCGGAUUGUAGGCUGCAACCCGCCUACAUGAAGUCGGAAUUGCUAGUAAUCGCAGAUCAGCAUGCUGCGGUGAAUACGUUCCCGGGCCUUGUACACACCGCCCGUCACGCCAUGGGAGUCGGUAACACCCGAAGCCUGUAGUCUAACCGCAAGGAGGACGCAGUCGAAGGUGGGAUUGAUGACUGGGGUGAAGUCGUAACAAGGUA
rnacentral:rRNA from 1 species